UGUAAGAUUUAUUUAUAUUUUUGUUGCUCAUGAUUAACAAUAUACAUACUUGGCAAUGGCGCAGUAAUUCUGAAAAGAGUUCCGUCGUAGUCUUGUGUACCUUAUAGUUUAUCAACCUAAACCAAACCACAAAUAAGCCCGGC
rnacentral:ncRNA from 1 species